AUGGCUGGCUGCGACGAUGACCACAAUCUGAACCCCAGCUUCAUGAAGACGGUGUAUAUGUCCUCAGGGAGCAAUGUAUACCUGAAGGGGGUGGCCGUGGAGCGUGUCGAUGGAGAAGAUAGUAAAUUAAUCGAGCACCUUGAGGCCAGAGUGAGUGCUGACAGCGCGAGAUCUGACCCUCUCAUCGAUUUGUUCAUACCAACCAUCGACAGCGAGCACGGCAUAUGCUACACCCAUCCUGAGAAACUUCCAGGUAUCACACUGAGUGGCCUAAGCAAGCAUUUCUUCCAGCGCAAUUCUAGGGCGUACAAAAGGGGCACAUGGACACGUCGCAAGAUACAGUCGGAGUGCGGCAUGCACGUGAUGUGGCACAACACCGGCAAUACCUUGUCGGUGAUGGUCAACGGCCGGCAGACGGGCAUCAAAACGGUUCUGGUGCUGCACACCAACAAGAACUUCGACCAGCAGAGGACCAACUAA
rnacentral:rRNA from 1 species